UGUCAUUUAAUUUUGUUUUCUAUUGCCCAAAAUGACCAUGUUGGAUCGUCUGCUUACGCGUUGUUCCUCACUGCACCUAUCAAAGAAGGUCAAAACUAAGCUAAGCAAUGGAAAUGAAGCGAACCCCGCACAAAAACAUACACCUGUCAUCAUAAUCAUCGUCAUCCUGUUUUGUCCCCUCCCAGCAAUUUCCAGUGACCCUCGCCAUGCUCCACCUGAUUGCCUUUUAUGCCUGGCAGCUUCGUAACAUUAUAACACCGCUUAUAUUCCUGCCGUCCUCUACUGCAUUUCCCCUUCCAUUGACACCCAUUGUGUAACUUUAAUAAUGCGCCGGUUAUCUGCCCUACGCACUGAAUGUUCCACCCUGCUCCAGCUUUUCCUUCUAAUGUCAACUAAAAUAUGGGCUACCCCUGCUGACUUUAACAUCCACAUCGCUGUCUUCCUGCCUCUCAACGUUAUAUUUAACAUUUAUCUUCUAAAUAUUACUUGACAGUCUCGAACACUCUGGGUCUCACGUUACUGCCCGCAGAAUGCAGUGAUUGUAUCCAAUUCAAGGACAGCUGUAAGCUGUAGAUUAUGAUUUCAUAAGGUGUUCCGUAUGCGAUGCAACCGAUUUUAUUUCCCUCUGUGUUUCCUUCCCUUGAUGAGGAUCACCAAUGAAUGAUUUGCUUUGAUAUGUGUUAUUGUAGAAAUUGAUUACCAAUCGGGGAAUGUUGUUCUCGUGCAAGGUAAUUCAACAUUACCUUAUAGCCCUAUGUAUACUAAUCUUUUGCAAUAGUCUCAUUCCUCGGGCUCAGUCGUACCAUAGUAAUGAUACUUUAACGCCAAUUUCCAUAAUAGAUAAAAAAAUAUUUAUACACACCAGAAUAUCGGCACCAAGGAGCUGGAACGUUAUAACAGAGAACUGAUCCUUGUAGCAAAGCUCAUCGCAUGCACAACGGCCCUUAAGCGGAAAGGAUGGAAGGUGGAGUCUACAACAUUUGAAAAUCAGAAGGCAGACAUUACAGAGGGAAAACUGCAUGCUAGGGUAAGCAAAGGUCGACUGAACGUAAGCCAAAUGUCCGGAGAAUUUUCUCGUGGCGUCCAACUUCCAGGCACAUGGUUAUCGCCGAAAGCUCCAGGAAGCUCAAAUCUUGUAAAUUAACAAAAAUUAGCUAUAGGUAGAGAGAGAUACUCGAGCUAUAAUAAAGGUAUAGGGUGGUUAGCUUUGUUACACGUUAUCUUCGGAUAACAACGGUGCACGUCUCAUGCCAAGAAUUUCGCGAUCAUGUAGUGGGUGGCCAAGGCCUGUAAUUGGGUGGCACAACCUGUAAUUUUGCGCUUCAUUGCGCCGUUUUGAUUUGUCGCUGUGAUGAGACAACAUUUAUCCUCGAAUUUUACAGAAUGACUCAUUUAUUGAAAGUUGGCGCUAUGUCCGUGUGCUUAACUUUCCUUUCCCUUUUUUCUUCUCCUGUCCAUCAUUUACUGCCCGUCAGCCUAUUGGUGUCUUGUCAUAAAACCACACGGACCGUUUAAACUGGCGCUACUGUAUCCGGGACUACGUAGGUGAAUAACUAUCAUCGAGGCGCUGACCGCCAGUGGUUCGAAAGCAACAUCUGGGGCGAUCACUUCUUGGACAAUCAAUUUGGGAAGAGAUCACACCGGAUCUGUGCACGUAUACGGCCCAAAGCGUUUCUGGAUCUGUGCUAGUCUCGCUAUCUCAUGGUGUGCAGAAUAGGAGGUCAAGGUUUCGUGUUCUCAUCCCUUCAAAUCUACUUCUCACAUGGGCAUGUGGUGUCUUUUUCUCUUUUUUUCAUUGGGGCCGAGAAUGAACGAUCACGAGAUCGGCGUGGCCAUGUCGUGGUACACGCAUAUAUCGGGCAAGGACGAUGCUGGCCUUUCGUGCGUCGUGGGAGUCAGCAGUACAACUGCGGCCAGACUAUACAACCUGGCCAGAAAGGUGAAUAACUAUCAUCGAGGCGCGGACGACCAGUGGUUCGGAAUCAACGUCUUGGGCAAUUGCUUCUCGGGUGAUCACUUUCGGAGGAGAUUACGCGGGAUCUGUACGAGUGUAUGGCUGAAAACCUUUCUGGCUACGUGCCAAGCUGGCUACCUGAUGGUGUACAGAAUAGGUAAGGUUUCUCGUACUCACCCAAUUGAUCGUGCGUCUCACAUGCGUGCCCGUUGUCUUCUUUCACUGGUUCCGGAUGAACGGCCCGAAAUCGACUUUGUCGUGCCGUGCACCCAUCUGUCGGGCAACGACGAUGCUGGCCUUUCGCGCGUCAUCACCAGAUCAAGCGAAGGAGGCAGCGCGGGGACUGGCUGCACGAGUCAAUCAAGCAAGGUGAAUAACUAUCAUCGAGGCGCGGGCGGCCAGUGGUUCGAAACCGACAUCUGGGAAGUCCACUUCUCUGGUGAUCCCUUUCGGAGGCGAUUCCAGAAGAUCUGCGUGAGUGUGUGAUCGAAAACCUUCCUGGCUCUGCGCCUAGCUGGGUUCCUGAUGUUGUACAGAAUAGCUCGUUUCUUCUAUACACCCUAUUCACCGUGCGUCUGACAUGCUUGCCCGUUGUCUUCUUUUUCAUUGGUGCGGACACCGAACGGCGCGAGAUCGACAUGUUCGUGUCCUGCAUCCAUCUGUCGGGAAAAAACGACGCUGGCCUUUCGUGCGUCAUCAACCGACCGAGCGGGAGAGGCAGCAGGGGACCCACUGCAGUAGUCAAACCAGCAAGCUGACAACGAACUGCGCGAGAUCUACAUGUUCGUGUCCUGCGUCUACUUGUCGGGCAAACACGACGCUGGCCUUUCAUGCGCCAUCAGCGAGCAAAGCGGGAGAGGCAGCAGGGGACCGACUGCAAUAGUCAAACCAGCAAGGUCGACCUGACUUCUGUAGCAGCGAGGUGAACAUCUCUUGCAGCAUGCUCAUGUCAAGCCACAUGUAGCAUUUGCGAGCAACGUAGGUGCCACAGUGUUCAUGCCCCUGGCAAGGCUGAAGCCCACUGUUGUCCUCGCGCAGCCGGAUGCUCCACUUUGGAUGUCGGUUGGCCAGGAUGUCCAGCAAGGUUGAACCUUCUUGCUCAGCGUUUUUAAGUGCAAAAAGCUGCGUGCACACCGGAAGUGACGAUGAUGGCGAGGAUCUGCCCACCACGGACUUCGGAGAAUCCCUCGAUCUGAAGCAACCUGGUGCGCGAGCCACCGAGCAGCCGCUGACCCAGACUGGAGAGGUUCAGCUCGAAUGUCAGGUCUCGAACUUGCGUCAGAGUGCCCCCUUUCACUGUCACGACGACGUGGCCAUUCGCACCGUUGCUGAAAAGAACAAGCGCUUGGUUCCGCACACACAAAAAUAAAGUCUGAAAACACCGCAGGCCAAAAGGCCAGAAGACGACGACGAUGGCGACGUGUAACGCCCAUGACGUGAAAGAUGUCUUACACUUCACGUACCACGACUCGAACUAAAAAGUGUUUCCGGGGUACGUCCUGGGUAGCUUGAGGGCCGGAGGAAUGCUUUUGCUGGUGUACGAAUGGUUAAGAGCUCCGAAAUAAAGUUACGGUGUGUGGAA